rnacentral:rRNA from 1 species
AUUGAACGCUGGCGGCAGGCUUAACACAUGCAAGUCGAGCGGAGAUGAGGUGCUUGCACCUUAUCUUAGCGGCGGACGGGUGAGUAAUGCUUAGGAAUCUGCCUAUUAGUGGGGGACAACAUUCCGAAAGGAAUGCUAAUACCGCAUACGUCCUACGGGAGAAAGCAGGGGAUCUUCGGACCUUGCGCUAAUAGAUGAGCCUAAGUCGGAUUAGCUCGUUGGUGGGGUAAAGGCCUACCAAGGCGACGAUCUGUAGCGGGUCUGAGAGGAUGGUCCUGCACACUGGGACUGGGGAACGGCCGGGACUCCUACGGGAGGCAGCAGUGGGGAAUAUUGGACAAUGGGGGGAACCCUGAUCUAGCCAUGCCGCGUGUGUGAAGAAGGCCUUAUGGUUGUAAAGCACUUUAAGCGAGGAGGAGGCUACUGAGACUAAUACUCUUGGAUAGUGGACGUUACUCGCAGAAUAAGCACCGGCUAACUCUGUGCCAGCCGCCGCAGUAA